rnacentral:rRNA from 1 species
GACGAACGCUGGCGGCGUGCUUAACACAUGCAAGUCGAACGGAAAGGCCCUGCUUUUGUGGGGUGCUCGAGUGGCGAACGGGUGAGUAACACGUGAGUAACCUGCCCUUGACUUUGGGAUAAAUUCAGGAAACUGGGGCUAAUACCGGAUAGGAGCUCCUGCUGCAUGGUGGGGGUGGGAAAGUUUCGGAGGUUGGGGAUGGACUCGCGGCUUAUCAGCUUGUUGGUGGGGUAGUGGCUUACCAAGGCUUUGACGGGUAGCCGGACUGAGAGGGUGACCGGCCACAUUGGGACUGAGAUACGGCCCAGACUCCUACGGGAGGCAGCAGUGGGGAAUAUUGCACAAUGGGCGGAAGCCUGAUGCAGCAACGCCGCGUGCGGGAUGACGGCCUUCGGGUUGUAAACCGCUUUCGCCUGUGACGAAGCGUGAGUGACGGUAAUGGGUAAAGAAGCACCGGCUAACUACGUG